AACGAACGCUGGCGGCAGGCUUAACACAUGCAAGUCGAGCGCCCCGCAAGGGGAGCGGCAGACGGGUGAGUAACGCGUGGGAAUCUACCGUGCCCUACGGAAUAGCUCCGGGAAACUGGAAUUAAUACCGUAUACGCCCUACGGGGGAAAGAUUUAUCGGGGUAUGAUGAGCCCGGGUGGGAUUAGCUAGUUGGUGGGGUAAAGGCCUACCAAGGGGACGAUCCAUAGCUGGUCUGAGAGGAUGAUCAGCCAUAUUGGGACUGAGACACGGCCCAAACUCCUACGGGAGGCAGCAGUGGGGAAUAUUGGACAAUGGGCGCAAGCCUGAUCCAGCCAUGCCGCGUGAGUGAUGAAGGUAUUAGGAUUGUAAAGCUCUUUCACCGGUGAAGAUAAUGACGGUAACCGGAGAAGAAGCCCCGGCUAACUUCGUGCCAGCCGCCGCAGUAA
rnacentral:rRNA from 1 species